rnacentral:rRNA from 1 species
AAGACAGCUGGAUGAUAGCCGGGCUGAAGACUCUGCUUGACUAGCUGAGAGGAGGUGCAUGGCCGUCGUCAGUUCGUACUGUGAAGCAUCCUGUUAAGUCAGGCAACGAGCGAGACCCACGCCAACAGUUGCCAGCAUGUCCUCCGGGAUGAUGGGGACACUGUUGGGACCGCCUCUGCUAAAGAGGAGGAAGGAAUGGGCAACGGUAGGUCAGCAUGCCCCGAAUUAUCCGGGCUACACGCGGGCUACAAUGGUCAGGACAAUGGGUAUCGACACCGAGAGGUGGAGGCAAUCUCCUAAACCUGUCCUUAGUUCGGAUUGUGGGCUGCAACUCGCCCACAUGAAGCUGGAAUCCGUAGUAAUCGCGUUUCAAAAUAGCGCGGUGAAUAUGUCCCUGCUCCUU